GACGAACGCUGGCGGCGUGCUUAAUACAUGCAAGUCGAACGGUGAAGCCCUUCGGGGUGGCUCAGUGGCGAACGGGUGAGUAACACGUGAGCAACCUGCCCCUGGCUCUGGGACAACCACUGGAAACGGUGGCUAAUACCGGAUACGACCCGCCUCGGCAUCGAGUGUGGGUGGAAUGUUUUUCGGCUGGGGAUGGGCUCGCGGCCUAUCAGCUCGUUGGUGAGGUGAAGGCUCACCAAGGCGACGCCGGGUAGCCGGCCUGUGAGGGCGACCGGCCACACUGGGACUGAGACACGGCCCAGACUCCUACGUGAGGCAGCAGUGGGGAAUAUUGCACAAUGGGCGAAAGCCUGAUGCAGCGACGCCGCGUGAGGGAUGACGGCCUUCGGGUUGUAAACCUCUUUCAGCUCCGAAGAAGCGAAAGUGACGGUAGGAGCAGAAGAAGCACCGGCUAACUACGUG
rnacentral:rRNA from 1 species